rnacentral:misc_RNA from 1 species
GAAAUGCGAUAAGUAAUGUGAAUUGCAGAAUUCCGUGAAUCAUUAAAUCUUUGAACGCACAUUGCGCCCUUUGGUAUUCCAGAGGGCAUGUCUGUUCGAGAAUCAGUUUAACCAUCAUUUCUAUUAUUGACUUUCUGAAAUGAAGUAAUAGUAAUGGAGUUGGGAUUACUCUUGUGCAUUUAUGCAUAUGAGAAACCUUAAUAAUAAUUGUUGCCUUUAUUUUGUCUAGUAAAUACUGAAGGCAUUUACCACUGAACGUAUGUUCUUUAUUAUGCUGAAGUAUUUGUUUCAAGACUUAAUUUUUGGUACAAAAAAACACAAUAAUAUACGAGGAGUUUAAAAAGCUUCUUAAGACUUGAUCUCGAAUCAGACAAGACUACCCGCUGAACUUAA